GACGAACGCUGGCGGCGUGCUUAACACAUGCAAGUCGAACGGAAAGGCCCUGCUUUUGUGGGGUGCUCGAUUGGCGAACGGGUGAGUAACACGUGUGUAACCUGCCCUUUACUUUGUGAUAACUUCAGGAAACUUGGGCUAAUACCGGAUAGGAUCUCCUGCUGCAUGUUGUGGGUUGGUAAGUUUCGGCGGUUGGGGUUGGUCUGGCGGCUUAUCAGCUCGUUGGUGGGGUAGUGGCUUACCAAGGCUUUGACGGGUAGCCGGCAUGAGAGGGUGAACGGGAACAUUGGGACUGAGAGACGGACCAGACGACAACGGGAGGCAGAAGUGGGGAAUAUAGCAAAAUGGGAGGAAGCCUGAUGAAGAAACGCAGCGUGCGGGAUGACGGCCUUCGGGUUGUAAACCGAUUUCGCAUGUGACGAAGCGUGAGUGACGGUAAUGGGUAAAGAAGCACCGGCUAACUACGUG
rnacentral:rRNA from 1 species